ensembl:lncRNA
AUAACACCUCUCUUAGCUGCAGAAGAGCCAAUCACUCGCACGGCAAGUUCAUCUGCGAAAGAUCAGUCUGCAAGAAAAUGUUGACAAUCGGUACGAGAAACACUCUCAACUGACCAGCUGUGGCCCAAGUCCCAGUUCUGGGUUCCCACAGCUCAGCCCCAGGCAGCUCAUCAGCCCUCUCUGAUCAUGGCCAUCUCCUGUCUGUAAAGGAAGUACCCAGACUCACAAAUUGUCAACAGCUCUCGCCUACCCUGAGGUCUGUUUCUAGGGCUCUCUCUGGUGACACUACAGCAAAAAGCCUUUGCUACACUUGUAUAAUCAGCUAAGGUGUUUAUUUAAUCCCCAUCCCCAAACUACUCUUAUAAAACAGCUAUUCUUUCUGUAAUGAGGCCAGAAACAUAAGCGCCAGCCCGCAGGGCAAGCAUCACAGAAAUCAGCCUGCAAAGCCAAUGGAAAUCAGGCAGUGGGCUCAAAAUAGAAAGCCUCUUUCAGCUUUCUUCCUUGCACAGUAGAGGGACUGCAACUAGCUAUAAUCAGGGUGUUUACGCUGUACCAAGUCGGUGUUAUUAUUAUCAUCCCCAUUUUAUAGAUGAGGAAACUGAGGCACAGAAAGUUAGCAGUCUAACUGGAAAGUCUAUGCUCCUAAGACUACUAAGUUCUACCCUUCUGGGUUCCCUAUGGACUCCCAGUAGAAGACUCUACACAUAUCUGCUGCCAUCUCCUAGACUGUGAAUUGCUUCAGGAUAGAAAGUGAAAGCAGCAUGGCAGAAAGACAUGGGUAUGGACCAGUGGUUCUCAAUUCUGGGCUAUUUCCACCUUCCAGGAACAUUUGAAACUCUCUGGAGGCAUUUUUGUCACAACGGAGGGAGACGUGCUCCUGUCGUCUAGUGGGGAGGAGCCAAAGAUGCUGCCACACAGUUCACAAGGCUCAGGACAACCCCCACAACAGAGGAUGGCCCAGCUCAAGUUGUCGCUGGUACCAAUGGUAGGAAACACUGCUCUAGAGUAAAAGACUGGGUCUGAAUUCCAGCUCUAACACCUACCAGUUGUGUGAACGUGAGCCACAGGCUUAAGCUCCCUGAGUCUCUCAGUAUCCUCCUAACAAAUGGUAAAAAAAAUAAUAUCUACCUGGCAAUAUGGUUGUGGGAAAGACUGAAUGCUUUUCAGCUGUGGAGUUAUUUAUACAUUUUCAAAGCCAGUGCCAGAGAGAAGAAAGAGCAGAGGUUUUGGAGUCAAGGGGAGAUGAGUUUCUAAACCUUUCAAGCCCCAGUUUUCAUCAUCUACUUGGAAAAAAAAAAAAAAAAAAAGGAGGGAUUUCUAUGCCAGGCAGUUUUCCUCAGGGUUAAAUGAGGUAAUGCAAAGACGUUGUUAUACUGUCCGACACACAGCCUAUUCCUAAAAGGGACUCUUUCCACUCUCCAAAGCAUGUGUCUGGUAUUUCUCGUCUCCUUAGUAUGCAAACCUCACUCUCUGCAAACGACAUUCCUCUGUUGCCAAACCCAACCCAGUUCUGUGCAGAUGUCUGCCUUGACUCAGGCAACCAAGUGCCUGGGGAAAUGACCCCACCUCGCAAAUUUAGAAAUGCGACUCCAUUAAAAUGAUCCAAGGUCAGUCGGAUGUCCUGCACAAGUGAUAAAUUUAGCACCAGCCACGUGACCUAGUUCUGCCAAUCAAUUCAGGGGACUUUGGAGAAAGGGUUUUCCACUCCUAAGAAGUGGUCCCUGGAAGAGACAGUAUCAUUUUUUUCCCCAGAAGUGUUUUUGCCUAGGAACUGCUGUAGUCAUCUUGCUACCAGCCGGAGGAGGAAACUCACUCCACGGAUGGCAGCACAAGGAAAGAGGCAGUUCUGAAGGAUGCAGUCUGAGGUCAUAGUUGAACCAAGUCAGUUCUGAGAACUGCAUUCCCUCUGGACGUCCUGUAAUAUCUAAGGAUACAUUUUCCUGUUGCUUAAGCCAGUUUGAUUCAGAGUUUCUGUUUCCUGCAGUCAAAAAACAUCCAAACAGUUAUAAAUGGGCACAGGACCCCCCCUCUGUGUCAGAGUCCCCUGACACCAUCACCGCAGCACAGGUUUCACUCAGUAUCCCGCAGUAAUUGGAUGUGGGCAGCUGGUCUAACAGCCAGUAUAAAGUGGAACUGGAAUAGAGCAACAGUGAAUGGAUUUUGCUCUUUUAUUCAGGAUAAGUAUGCAGUUCAGGGCAUUGAGCACAUUUCCAUUGUCAUCCUAACAUCAGCACCAUUCAUUUCUAGAACUUUUUCACAUUGUAAAACUGAAACUCUAUACCCAUAAACACUAACUCCCACUUCCCUCUCCUCCCAGACCCUGGCAACCCCCCUCCUACUCUCUGUCUACAUGAAUCUGACAAUUCUAGGAAACUCACGUAAGUAGAAUCACACAGUGUUUUUCUUUUGUGACUGGCUUAUUUUGCUUAGCCAAGGUUCAUCCAUGUUGUAGCAUGUGUUAACAUUACUUUCCUUUUUAAGACUAAAUAAUAUUCCAUUGCCUGUAUACACCACAUUGUGUUUAUUCAUUCAUCUAUCAAUGGAUAUUUGAGUUUCUACUUUUGGGCUAGUGUGAAAAAUGCUGAAAUAAUAUGGUUAUAAAUAGAAAGUUUUAACCUGGCAAUCAAUAGUUUUUUGUUUGUUUGUUUUUCAUCUUUUUGCCUUUUUGCCUUUUCUAGGGCCGCUCCCAUGGCAUAUGGAGGUUCCCAGGCUAGGGGUCUAAUUGGAGCUAGGGUUUUUCUCUUUAAAAAAAAAAAAAAAAAGGUGGGGGAAAGGUUGGCACACAAUUUUCACAUCUUGAAAAGUUUUUUAUAAUUAAUACAAUCACCAAACAUUUCUAGGACAUAUACCAGCUCUAAAGUGCCCUGAAAUGUUGAAGUACAAACAUAACCUUUCUCCGAUUCUGCAAGAGGGUUUUUGUUUCUUGUUUUGUUUUGUUUUGUUUUUGACUCGGUAGUCUAUACACUAAGUCCAAUUCAAAUGCAUAUGAUAGUUGCAGUUGGAAGAAUCUGAAGACUCAGAGAAAAAAAGACUCAUUUCCUUUUCCUUGUGUGUGUGUGUUGUUUUGGGGGGGAGGGGAGCUGUUGCAGGAAUUAUAUGAAGGACACAAGAGAAGGGCACUUUUCCUACCGUAUCAGUGGUUUCCCUAUCUUACAUUUAGAUUAAGAUUACUACGCCUCAGUUUUCCCCUCUGUGAAAUGGCACAGGAAUCCUGUAUUGAGGUUUGAUUCUGGCCGUACGUUGAGAAGGUGGCCCAACAUUUUCCUCUUCCAGGAAGCUUUCCUAGUAAGAAUCCAGAACUUCUGUUCUAUUCCCUGAUGUAAUCCUUAGCCAACGUGAACCUCUACAAUGAUACUGUCUGAUGAGUACCAGUAGGCAGUCCUGCCUAUCUGCAAAGUUUCUUUAAUAUUCUUCCCCCAUGCCUGCCACAGCUGCUCAAUUAUAAACCAGCAGAAACCUGAGGAACUGCAUGCAUUCUUAGCACUUUGGGGCCAUUUGGGUACUAUUGAGCAAAUGAAUGCCAUUUUCAAAUACUAUUAAUUUGGUAAGUGCUGAAAAGUAAACAGAAAAGAAAUUCAAUAAAGGCACACUGGUGCUUAAACAUGCAUGCCCUUUAGUUCUUGUAUCACGGGGGUUUUUAAAAUCUCAUGCACCUCCCCAAAGGCCUAAAUUUUACCCCUGAAGGAUGUUUAGGUAUUGUAAAGGACCCUUAAAGAGUUAGCAAAAGUUAGUGCUUGGUAUGGGGGACACUAAGUUUAUUCCUAACAGUAUCCCACUCAUUUUGGUCAAGGGAGUUCUGAUUUUGUUCGCGGUGGCGAUAUGCUUAAGCUGAAGGAAUAAAACACAGUUAGUUGCUCUGAGCUAACUAUGGCUAGACUGCUUCCUUUCUGUAGAAACUCAUUUCCCCAGCUUUCCUUGGAGAAGUGUACAGCUGUGGGAUCCAGUUCUUGGCCAAUGAGAUAUAAAGGGAAGUCUCCUGAUGGGAGGAGAGAGUGUGAUGGGAGGGGCGCUAGGAAAGAUUCUUAGUGUUUUUCCUCCUUGAUAAACAACACCCCAUUCUGCCUCCUCCUUUCUCUUUGGGACGUUCGUAUAAGAAAGAGAUGCCUACAUCUCUGGAAGUCAUCCUGUGGCUGUGAGCUGCCCACUGAGCACAGGAAGAGCUGCGUUUCUAAGUCAGGGAAGAAGCCACUGAACAAGCCUACAAUGACCUCCUUCCAGAUUAAAAAAAAAAAAAAAUCACAUAUUUAUGGAUUAAGUUACUAAAUAACUCCUAGCUGAUACACAUAGGUAUUUUCUAGAUGUGAACAAUAUUACAUUAUCAUUCUAUAUAACAUAAUAUUAUGUUAACUAGUGUUGAUCUGUGUCAUUUACACCUUCUCCAUUAAUUAGUGAAGUUCUUAGCAGUCAAAAGCAUGCCUUUCACUGACCUAUGAUAUCUUAUCUGUAAACACUACACCUAGAGUGAGGUGUUUGAGAAAUACUCAAUUAAAAUUUGAGUAGCUAUCAAUCCAGUAAUGUCAAACAAUUUAGGAUCUCAGGACCCAGCCUCUUAUCCAUAUCUUUUUAUUCAGUCACAACCUCAUAAUAUCUCACAGUUCCAAAGGAAAGCGUAGUUGAGCAAUGUCUUUGUUCUCAGUAGGCUUUGUUUUUGAAUGCCUAAUUCGACCUUAAAAACAUGCUGGAUGAUGAGACUAAACAGACACAGUUCCGCUGUGAGGAAUUUUCAAGCUCAUGGGAGAGGAGAGCUGCAUGGUAAAAAGAAAACAGUGGCUCAAAAUGGCAAAAAGGCAGAAAAAGGUAGGGGUUAUUCCUCACUGGAAUGUUCUCACACUCUAAUGAAGAGGAAGAAGUUGAGCUCUGCUUUGAGAGUUAAGUAUGUUUUUCAAAAUAUAAAGCAUAUCUAUUCAGUUCAAGUGGAAGUAAAGAAUGAGGAUUCUAACCAAGGAGAAUAGCGAGAGCAACCGCAGGGAUUUUUGACCAAAAAAAAUAUGAAAGAAGGGGAUAAACAGAUUUAAGAUCCUAUCAUAGAAGACAUUACAGCUCAGGCUAAGACCACUGUUCUUCAUUGAGAGAAAAAAUGCAAAGUCGCCCAAGUUUGUGAUCCAAUAACCACGUUAACUGAAUCAGAUGCGUGUUGUAGAACACACCUAGGCUAGUAAAGAGGUAGUAUUAUUAGCAGUGUGGAGUUCAAGUUGAGAGGCUUUACCAGCCUAAGAAGAGAGGGAUGGAAGUCCCAAGCAUAGCCCAUGGCAGCAGAAGUAGGAAAAGAAAGAAUUCAAUUCCACUUUCUCAGUUUUCCCUGUACCCAGUUAUGAUCUGUAAAUUGAACAAUUUCAGAAAUUAUAUUGAUAAGCAAAUCACUGUCUGCACACAGUAAAUGGGGUCUUGGAAAUUGGAAACAUUAAGGAAUGGAGGAGAAGAAUUAGACUCAGCUUAUAUUCCCCAAGAAGAUGGAUAUCCCGUUUCUUCCAAAGAGAUGAAUUCCAAUAUAUAAUCAUCUUCGCAUGAAUGUUCAAAUGUGUUGUGUUCAAACUUGUCGAUUUCAAGCCUCUAGAUUUCACCAAUACACAAUUUGACAUCAUCUUCAAAUAAUGACAAGGAUUUUAAUGAGAAUUCUGAUCCACAAUUCAUAAGUAUGUGACCUGUGCUCACUGCAGUGAGGUGUGUCAUCACCACUAUGCAUUUAUCAUAUUGUUGAAAAUAAUAACAUUAACCAUCCAGACUAUUUGAAUCCUUUUUGGUUCUUCUUUAACUUUCUUAAUACCCGAAGGAGAAUAAUAUGUCAUAUUAAAUUUCUCUGAAUGACUAUUAAAUAUUUGAUGACAGCCAAUACAUCAAAAAUAUA